UUGACUUCACUUAUUUUGAAAAUGUGUAUAUGUCCUUGAUACCUCGUUAAAAUUAUAUACUUUAACCUAACAAUUGUCGAUAUUUUCAGCCAUAAAGUCGAGUUUAAGUGUAUAUUUUUGUAACGUAAACUUAUUCAUAAAGCAGUAUAUUCACAAUAAAGGCAAGAAACAGUUUUAUUAUGAAUUAUGGAAAUAUUAAUUGUGGUAGGUGUGCAAUUUGGAGCCGAAGCAAGAGGUCCAGUUACUCGUUAUCCGUGCCAAACAUCUGCUUUAUGCGGCCCGUGCACAUGCGUCGAGAAUUGGUGUAAGUGUCCGCCAGAUAAAAUAUCGAAGUUCAUUCUUCAAGACAUCUCUACACACCCGCAAGCACAUAAGGAAAUGCCAUAAUCAGCGCUACUUGAUACAUCAAUAUAUAGCAUAUACUUAUGACGUGCCCCAAAAAUCUUAUGUUCUCCCAAUAUGUUCGUUAAAUGUUUGAAUGGAUAAUAAAUAACAUCACCUUCUUACUUAUAGUUUACUUGGUUUGAAUAUUUUUAUAUUUCAUAAUGUUGUGAUGAUAAAGGUGUGGUACACGAGAAAACAGUGAAGUGAUUCUAAAUUACCGAACACAACGAAAAAAAGGCAAUUGAAAUAGUGUAACACCUAACAAUUUUUGCUAAUUAGGCGACAACAUGAAAUUCAAAAGUUUAUAAGAAAUAGUCUUCUAUUCUCAAACUGUUGUUGUAAAUAAGGCAAAUAUAAGUGAUGGUUCUGAAUGACCUCUUUUAAUCACUUGAAAAACAUAUAAAGUUGUAUAGAUAAGGAUUACAACGAAGUUAACUAAUAUAAAAUAAUUAUAUAUUUUAGUCUCAAGCACGUAGUUCUGAAUCCUAAAACAAGUAACUAUUACUAAUUUCUUUAGUGUGUGCUAAAUAUGAUUAUUUCUUACUAAUUUCGUGUUUGAUCCACCGAAUAAUAGGAAAGAAUUAAAGUUUUUAGAAACAAUAUCUCUUUGGUUGUCAUUUUUAUUUUAUUUUAUCACCACAUAACUCUGUUUUAAAAAAACUAGUAUCUCUUUCGCAUACAAAUAAUUGGUAAACGAAUUCGGCAACGUAGCGUUUUUGUAUUUUAAAAAAUGUACCAUCAAGGUCCAUUAAUUCGAUAAUAUAUUGGGAUUUGAUUCUGGCCUUAGUUUCAGUAAGAUAAUAUUGAGAAAUCGAAAUUCCAAUCUACCGUGGUUCCAUCACAGAUUUACUAAAGUUCAUACUUACGUACCAACAAACAACGCCGUCCUUGGAGUCAUAUAUACUUAAUUGCAAGUUUUACUCGUUUAGGUUGCCAAGUUAUUUAUGGCAUGAAACAAAAUAUGUCAAUUUAGUUACCGUUUUGUUCAACAAAUUAAUCUCUGAAAAAAAAAAAAAAAAAUCCUUUCACGAAUACGCAAUUUAUAGGAUUUAUAGUUAUGUACACAUGUGCAUGUGAAAAUUAAGCUACAUAUAUUCGACAGUUUGGAAAGCACUGGUAACUUAGAAAUUGAAGUUAUAUUGUUUCAAUAAUUUAAAGCCACUAAUUAUAUAAGGAAUAAAAUCGAAAUCUUAUUAUGCCAAUUUAUUUACCAUUAAAGUUCGAUACAUUGAUUUUUUAUUAUAGAAAAUCCAUACAUGAACAAUUCUUUGAAUCCAAUGCGCUCAUCAUGGCAUUGCUUAAAGUCAUACUUUUGUACAGCAAAUAUCGCCAAUAAUAAAAUAUAUAUACUUUGAAUUAAGGUCGUACUUGUAUUGGCUUGAAACCUAAUAUGCAAAUUUAGUUACCAUUCUAGUCGAACAAAAUCAUCUCUUAAAAUAAUAUUUCCUUUCAUGCAUACACAAUUUAUUUAACUUAUCAUUUCUAAACAUGCAUUUACAAAAAAUAAGUUAAAUAUAAUGUUAGGUUUGGAGAGCACGAAUAGGUUAGAAAUUAAGCUAUAUAGCUUGAAUAUGCACCUAAUAAUACUAGGCAUCAAAUCGCAAUCUUAUUAUCAUAACUUAUUUACCAUUAUAGUUCGAUAAAUUGAUUUGUUUACAAAAUUCAUGCAUGAACAAUUCGUUGAAUCCAACCUCACCAAGAUGUGCAAUCAUAGAAAAUAGUUUUCAAAUUCACCUAUAUAUAUUGUAGUCUUUUUAAAAACUUGUGACUCCGAAUUCAAGUUUUAUACCACGUACAAACCUAUAAUCCUUCCUUGCCUUCAACAAAUUGAAUAGAUAUGGAGAAAAGGUUCAUUCAAGUCAGCUUUCCUCAUUGUGUUCCCUCCUUGUUUCAUAUAAUGGUAAAAUACUUCUCUCAAUUUUUAUUUUGUUACAAUGAAGAGAAAAAUAUUCUUGACAUAAUAUAAUCCGAACGUUAAUCCUAACAACCUAGGCUAACCUCUGGGGCUGACUUCUUUGAACAAUACAACUGCAUAUAGUAAUUUUUUUCUCCAACCUGGUUGACCUCACUUAUUUUGAAAAUGUGUAUAUGUCCUUGAUACAUCGUUAAAAUUAUAUACUUUAACCUAACAAUUGUCGAUAUUUUCAACCAUAAAGUCGAGUUUAAGUGUAUAUUUUUGUAACGUAAACUUAAGCAUAAAGCAGUAUGUUCAAAAUAAAGGCAAAAAACAGUUUUAUUAUGAAUUAUGGAAAUAUUAAUUGUGGUAGGUGUGCAAUUUGGAGCCGAAGCAAGAGGUCCAGUUACUCGUUAUCCGUGCCAAACAUCUGCUCUAUGCGGCCCAUGCACAUGCGUCGAGAAUUGGUGUAAGUGUCCGCCAGAUAAAAUAUCGAAGUUCAUUCUUCAAGACAUCUCUACACACCCGCAAGCACAGAAGGAAAUGCCAUAAUCAGCGCUACUUCAUACAUCAAUAUAUAGCAUAUACUUAUGAAGUGCACCAAAAAUCUUAUGUUCUCCCAAUAUGUUCGUUAAAUGUUUGAGUGGAUAAUAAAUAACAUCACCUUCUUACUUAUGGCUUACUUGGUUUGAAUUUUUUUAUAUUUCAUAAUACUGUGAUGAUAAAGGUGUGGUACACGAGCAAACAGUGAAGUGAUUCUAAAUUACCGAACACAACGAAAAAAAGUAAUUGAAAUAGUGUAACACCAAACAAUUUUCGCUAAUUAGGCGACAACAUGAAAUUCAGAAGUUUAUAAGUAACGGUCUUCUAUUCUCAAACUGUUGUAGUAAAUAUGGCAAUUAUAAGUGAUGGUUCUGAAUGACCUCUUUUAAUCACUUGAAAAACAGAUAAAGUUGUACAGAUAAGGAUUACAACGAAGUUAACUAAUAUAAAAUAAUUGUAUAUUUUAGUUUCAAGCACGUAGUUCUGAAUCUCAAAACAAGUGAAUAUUACUAAUUUCUUUAGUGUGUGCUAAAUAUGAUUCUUUCUUACUAAUUUCGUGUUCGAUCCACUGAAUAACACGAAAGAAUUAAAGUUGUCAAAAACAAUAUUUCUUUUGUUGUCAUUUUUAUUUUAUUUUAUCACCACAUAACUCUGUUUUAAAUAAACUAGUAUCUCUUUCGCAUACAAAUAAUUGGUAAACGAGUUCGGCAACGUAGCGUUUUUGUAUUUUAAAAAAUGUACCAUCAAGGUCCAUUAAUUCGAUAAUAUAUUGGGAUUUGAUUCUGGCCUUAGUUUCGGUAAGAUAAUAUUGAGUAAUCGAAAUUCCAAUCUACCGUGGUUCCAUCACAGAUUUACUAAAGUUCAUACUUACGUACCAACAAACAACGCCGUCCUUGAAGUCAAUAAUUGCAAGUUGUACUCGUUUAGGUUUCCAAGUUAUUUAUGGCAUGAAACAUAAUAUGUUAAUUUAGUUACCGUUUUGUUCAACAAAUUAAUCUCUUGAAAAAAAAAAAAAAUCCUUUCACGAAUACGCAAUUUAUAGGAUUUAUAGUUAUGUACACAUGUACAUGUGAAAAUUAAGUUACAUAUAUUCGACAGUUUGGAAAGCACUGGUAACUUAGAAAUUUAAGUUAUAUUGUUUCAAUAAUUUCAAGCCACUAAUUAUAUAAGGAAUAAAAGCGAAAUCCGAUUAUGCCAAUUCAUUUACCAUUAUAGUUCAAUACAUUGAUUUUUUAUUAUAGAAAAUCCAUACAUGAACAAUUCUUUGAAUCCAAUGCGCUCGUCAUGGCGUUGCUUAAAGUCAUACUUUUGUACAGCAAAUAAAGCCAUUAAUAAAAUAUAUAUACUUUGAAUUAAGGUCGUACUUGUUUUGGCUUGAAACCUAAUAUGCUAAUUUAGUUACCAUUCUGAUCGAACAAAUUCAUCUCUUAAAAUAAUAUUUCCUUUCAUGAAUGCACAAUUUAUUUAACUUACCGGUUCUAAACGUGCAUUUACAAAAAAUAAGUUACACACAAUCUUUGGUUUGGUGAGCACAAAUAAGUUAGAAAUUAAGCUAUAUGGCUUGAAUAUGCACCUAAUUAGACUAGGCAUCAAAUCGCAAUCUUAUUAUCAUAACUUAUUUACCAUUAUAGUUCGAUAAAUUGAUUUGUUUACAAAAUUCAUGCAUGAACAAUUCGUUGAAUCCAACUUCACCGAGAUGUGCAAUCAUAGAACAUAGUUUUCAAAUUCACCUAUAUAUAUUGUAGUCUUUUUAAAAACUAGUGACACCGAAUUCAAGUUUUAUACCACGUACAAACCUAUAAUCCUUCCUUGCCUUCAACAAAUUGAAUAGAUAUGGAGAAAGGUUCAUUCAAGUCAGCUUUCCUCAUUGUGCUCCUUCUUGUUUCAUAUAAUGGUAAAAUACUUCUCUCAAUUUUUAUUUUUGUUACAAUGAAAGAGAAAUUUAUUCUUGACAUAAUAUAAUCCGAACGUUAAUCCUAACAACCUAGGCUAACCUCAGGGGCUGACUUCUUUGAACAAUAAAACUGCAUAUAGGAAUUUUUUUCUCCAACCUGGUUGACUUCACUUAUUUUGAAAAUGUGUAUAUGUCCUUGAUACCUCGUUAAAAUUAUAUAAUUUAACCUAACAAUUGUCGAUAUUUUCAGCCAUAAAGUAGAGUUUAAGUGUAUAUUUUUGUAACGUAAACUUAUGCAUAACACAGUAUGUUCACAAUAAAGGCAAAAAACAGUUUUAUUAUGAAUUAUCGAAAUAUUAAUUGUGGUAGGUGUGCAAUUUGGAGCCGAAGCAAGAGGUCCAGUUACUCGUUAACCAUGCCAAACAUCUGCUCUAUGCGGCCCAUGCACAUGCGUCGAGAAUUGGUGUAAGUGUCCGCCAGAUAAAAUAUCGAAGUUCAUUCUUCAAGACAUCUCUACACACCCGCAAGCACAUAAGGAAAUGCCAUAAUCAGCGCUACUCGAUACAUCAAUAUAUAGCAUAUACUUAUGACGUGCACCAAAAAUCUUAUAUUCUCCCAAUAUGUUCGUUAAAUGUUCGAAUGGAUAAUAAAUAACAUCACCUUCUUACUUAUAGCUUACUUGGUUUGAAUUUUUUUAUAUUUCAUAAUACUGUGAUGAUAAAAAGGUGUGGUACACGAGCAAACAGUGAAGUAAUUCUAAAUUACCGAACACAACGAAAAAAAGGCAAUUGAAAUAGUGUAACACCUAACAAUUUUCGCUAAUUAGGCGACAACAUGAAAUUCAAAAGUUUAUAAGAAAUAGUCUUCUAUUCUCAAACUGUUGUAGUAAAUAAGGCAAAUAUAUAAGUGAUGGUUCUGAAUGACCUCUUUUAAUCACUUGAAAAACAUAUAAAGUUGUACAGAUAAGGAUUACAACGAAGUUAACUAAUAUAAAAUAAUUGUAUAUUUUAGUUUCAAGCACGUAGUUCUGAAUCUCAAAACAAGUAAAUAUUACUAAUUUCUUUAGUGUGUGCUAAAUAUGAUUCUUUCUUACUAAUUCCGUGUUCCAAUCUACCGUGGUUCCAUCACAGAUUUACUAAAGUUCAUACUUACUUACCAACAAACAACGCCGUCCUUGGAGUCAUAUAUACUUUAAUUGCAAGUUGUACUCGUUUAGGUUGCCAAGUUAUUUAUGGCAUGAAACAAAAUAUGUCAAUUUAGUUACCGUUUUGUUCAACA
rnacentral:lncRNA from 1 species